UCAGCUUUGGCGCAGUAGUAGCGCACAUCAGUCUCACAAGCUGAAGGUCCUGAGUUCGAUCCUCAGAAGGAA
rnacentral:tRNA from 1 species